CUCCAUCCCAGCUAUUUGGGUCUUAGGGUCAGCCACCCGCGUCUUAAAUUUCCACUUGACCCAAUUUAUCACCUUGUUAUACGGCCAUCUUUUAAUGUUCUCAUGAUCUCAUAUCAUUUAAAAUCGCAUCCAACCAUCUUUUUUUCGGUUUUCCCAUACCCCUCUUCCUCCUAUAUUUAUUUUAAUUAUCAUUCUUAUUGCAUUCGAUUCUUUUUCCCUCAUGACAUA